CAACGAGCGCAACCCUUAUCCUUUGUUGCCAGCGGUCCGGCCGGGAACUCAAAGGAGACUGCCAGUGAUAAACUGGAGGAAGGUGGGGAUGACGUCAAGUCAUCAUGGCCCUUACGACCAGGGCUACACACGUGCUACAAUGGCGCAUACAAAGAGAAGCGACCUCGCGAGAGCAAGCGGACCUCAUAAAGUGCGUCGUAGUCCGGAUUGGAGUCUGCAACUCGACUCCAUGAAGUCGGAAUCGCUAGUAAUCGUGGAUCAGAAUGCCACGGUGAAUACGUUCCCGGGCCUUGUACACACCGCCCGUCACACCAUGGGAGUGGGUUGCAAAAGAAGUAGGUAGCUUAACCUUCGGGAGGGCGCUUACCACUUUGUGAUUCAUGACUGGGGUGAAGUCGUAACAAGGUAACCGUAGGGGAACCUGCGGUUGGAUCAC
rnacentral:rRNA from 1 species